CGCGCUCGGAGGCGGCCCGGCGGCGCGGAGUCCUCCCGGAUCGCUGCAAUGGGCAGACACAGAGCGCAAAGUGGCGGACUUGGGCGGCCACAGGUAACUUUCUCGCAAGGCGCUGAAUUCUUUCACUAAAGGGUACAAGCCCGAGGGCCGAGCUGCGCGGUGAUUGGCUGCGGUGCUCCCUCAGGGGCAGGGUAGAGGUGAUGGGAGAGACGGAGCGGGGAGCGCCACUACAGACACUAGGUACCGUGGGUCAAACCGAAGGACGACAGAAUGCUGAACCCAGAAAUCAACAAGCCACCCGGAACCAAAUGGCCAGUUCACCACCUGCCACUUGACACUCGCGGGACGAAAACUGUGUGGCGGGCAGAAGAGUCAGGGAACUAGAGUUACGCUAUGCUGAGUGGGAAAGGAACGGAUUGCCGGGUCUCUUGCGUAAUUGCAUUGUUAGCAUUCUUAUCCACAACAAACUCUUCUCCUGCUCUGAUGCAUAGAAGAUAGCAGGUCGUUUUCAGUUUUCAACUAGUCGAGCGACCUUUCCUGAACUGGAUCUAUGAAGUGCGGCGUGGCUUUAAUGGAGAAAGGAGAUUCGGUUGAAUAGACUCUUAAGGUGGCCCGGGCGCACCUCUUGCAUCUCUCCGCAGCCUGGGAUUCCUGCGCUGCGGAACAACUACUGCAUCUGUUCCAUAAGCCUGUCGCCCGUUGACAUUUCUAGGCAAGCAUCAACAUUUACAUUGUAAUUCAAUAGAAGCAGCUACUACAAAGGCUCUUUAUCCUUGCAGUUUAAUAUGGUUGCCAGGGGAACAACGCAGGAUGAAAGUGACUUGUUUGUGUGGGUUCUCUUCUGGUCCGGAACAGUGCGAAGUAGCCAGGUGUCAUUUAUAAUCGCUGCUACGAGAAUUAAGUAUUUGUGGGAGUUCUGACAGGGAUCUAGCCCAUACAUGAGCGUGGUGGAAAUACAGGAGGGUAUGGAAAGCUUUGCCACAUUUAUGUCAAGUCAACACUGGAGCACUGGAGCUGUCAGAUUUGACACAACUUCUGUAUUAAACCUUUGCAGGUCACAUGAUUUGGGGGAAUUAAAUUACGGCACUAGG
rnacentral:lncRNA from 1 species